rnacentral:rRNA from 1 species
UACGGAGGAUCCGAGCGUUAUCCGGAUUUAUUGGGUUUAAAGGGUGCGUAGGCGGUUUGAUAAGUUAGAGGUGAAAUGUCGGGGCUCAACCCCGAAACUGCCUCUAAUACUGUUGGACUAGGGAAUAGUUGCGGUAGGCGGAAUGUAUGGUGUAGCGGUGAAAUGCUUAGAGAUCAUACAGAACACCGAUUGCGAAGGCAGCUUACCAAACUAUAUCUGACGUUGAGGCACGAAAGCGUGGGUAGCAAACAGG